CCGCCAAGUAGGAGCGAGCGGAGCCGCGAUGGAGACCAAGGUGAGCCCCGGGAAAGACAAUUAUCGAAUGAAGAGCUAUAAGAACAAUGCCCUAAACCCUGAGGAAAUGAGACGAAGAAGAGAGGAGGAGGGCAUUCAGCUCUGGAAGCAGAAACGGGAGCAACAACUUUUUAAACGGAGAAAUGUGGAGCUGAUUAAUGAAGCAGCUGCCAUGUUCGACAGUCUCCUCACGGACUCCUAUGUGAGCUCUACCACUGGGGAGAGUGUGAUCACACGAGAGAUGGUGGAGAUGCUCUUUUCUGAUGAUUCUGACCUGCAAUUAGCAACCACACAGAAAUUCCGGAAACUGCUCUCCAAAGAGCCUAGUGCUCCAAUAGAUGAAGUUAUCAACACUCCAGGAGUGGUGGAUCGGUUUGUGGAGUUUCUGAAGAGGAAUGAGAAUUGUACAUUAGAGUUUGAAGCUGCCUGGGCUCUAACGAACAUUGCCUCUGGAACCUCUCAGCAGACCAAGAUUGUCAUUGAAGCAGGGGCAGUCCCCAUUUUUAUAGAGCUGCUUAACUCGGACUUUGAGGAUGUACAGGAACAGGCAGUCUGGGCACUUGGAAACAUAGCUGGAGACAGCUCCGUCUGCCGAGAUUACGUCUUGAACUGUUCCACCCUUAAUCCUUUGUUAACACUCCUUACCAAGUCCACACGACUGACGAUGACACGGAAUGCAGUCUGGGCCCUGUCAAACCUCUGCCGAGGAAAGAACCCACCCCCAGAGUUUGCAAAGGUCUCCCCUUGUUUACCUGUGCUGUCUCGCCUACUCUUCGGCAGUGACUCAGACUUGCUGGCAGAUGCUUGCUGGGCCCUUUCUUAUCUGUCCGAUGGCCCCAACGAAAAGAUCCAGGCAGUCAUAGAUUCUGGAGUCUGCCGAAGACUGGUAGAGCUUUUAAUGCACAAUGACUACAAUGUGGCCUCUCCUGCCCUGAGAGCAGUGGUAACAUUGUCACCGGGGAUGACAUCCAAACCCAGGUCAUUCUUAACUGUUCAGCCCUCCCUUGCCUGCUCCACUUGCUGAGCAGCCCCAAGGAGUCAAUCCGGAAGGAAGCUUGCUGGACCAUUUCAAAUAUCACUGCUGGCAACAGGGCUCAAAUACAGGCUGUCAUAGAUGCAAAUAUCUUCCCUAUAUUGAUCGAAAUCCUUCAAAAAGCAGAGUUCCGUACAAGGAAAGAGGCAGCCUGGGCCAUCACCAAUGCUACAUCAGGAGGAACACCUGAGCAGAUCAGGUACCUGGUCUCACUGGGCUGCAUCAAACCCUUGUGCAACUUGCUGACUGUGAUGGAUUCGAAGAUUGUGCAGGUGGCCCUCAAUGGGUUAGAGAACAUCCUUCGGCUUGGAGAGCAAGAGGGCAAGCGCAGUGGCUCAGGGGUCAACCCGUACUGUGGCCUCAUUGAGGAAGCCUAUGGCUUGGAUAAAAUUGAGUUUCUCCAGAGCCAUGAGAACCAGGAAAUCUACCAGAAGGCCUUCGACCUUAUUGAGCACUACUUUGGUGUAGAAGAUGAUGAUAGCAGCCUGGCUCCCCAAGUGGAUGAGACACAACAGCAGUUCAUCUUCCAGCAGCCUGAGGCCCCCAUGGAGGGCUUCCAGCUAUAAUGUCUGCCUCCGGGGAGGGGAGG